GAGUUUGAUCAUGGCUCAGGAUGAACGCUGGCGGCGUGCCUAACACAUGCAAGUCGAGCGCGGUUGUGCUUAGUAUUGAGUGUUUUAUUGAUAUAAAACAUUGAAUUCUAUGCACAACUGAGCGGCGGACGGGUGAGUAACGCGUGGGUAACCUGCCCUAUACACAUGGAUAACAUACUGAAAAGUUUACUAAUACAUGAUAAAAUAGUUUUUCGGCAUCGAAGAAUUAUCAAAGUGUUAGCGGUAUAGGAUGGACCCGCGUCUGAUUAGCUAGUUGGUGAGAUAACUGCCCACCAAGGCGACGAUCAGUAGCCGACCUGAGAGGGUGAUCGGCCACAUUGGAACUGAGACACGGUCCAAACUCCUACGGGAGGCAGCAGUGGGGAAUAUUGCACAAUGGGCGCAAGCCUGAUGCAGCAACGCCGCGUGAACGAUGAAGGUCUUCGGAUCGUAAAGUUCUGUUGCAUGGGGAAGAUAAAGACGUACCCU
rnacentral:rRNA from 1 species